AUUGAACGCUGGCGGCAGGCUUAACACAUGCAAGUCGAGCGGGGGAAGGUAGCUUGCUACCGGACCUAGCGGCGGACGGGUGAGUAAUGCUUAGGAAUCUGCCUAUUAGUGGGGGACAACAUCUCGAAAGGGAUGCUAAUACCGCAUACGUCCUACGGGAGAAAGCAGGGGAUCUUCGGACCUUGCGCUAAUAGAUGAGCCUAAGUCAGAUUAGCUAGUUGGUGGGGUAAAGGCCUACCAAGGCGACGAUCUGUAGCGGGUCUGGGAGGAUGGUCCGCCACACUGGGAAUGAGGCACGGCCCAGACUCCUACGGGAGGCAGCAGUGGGGAAUAUUGGACAAUGGGGGGGACCCUGAUCCAGCCAUGCCGCGUGUGUGAAGAAGGCCUUAUGGUUGUAAAGCACUUUAAGCGAGGAGGAGGCUACUGAGACUAAUACUCUUGGAUAGUGGACGUUACUCGCAGAAUAAGCACCGGCUAACUCUGUGCCAGCCGCCGCGGUAA
rnacentral:rRNA from 1 species